UUUCGCAGUCUUGAACUCUCAGACAGAAUUUUAGCCUCUUCGGGAAGCCUCGGUCGACAUCCAUCUUCACUAUUUCGCAGCAUCAAACGCAGCCAUCAAACUCUCAGAUACAAAGGUUGGGCUGAAAACAAAUAAGAGAGGUUUGGUUUUCAAGUCUCAUCUCCCAGAUGAGAAGAAGGGUGAGAGGUCUGGUGCUUCGUGCUCAAGCUUGAAAGUCGAAUCUUCCUUGCAUGGAUAAGCUCAGGGAUGAGCUUUCUUGAGAGAAUUGAGGUUGGGUACUUGCAUCUGAGGUUUCUCGGCAACGUUAGAUCUGCACUUUGGGCUUAAGACUUAUCUUUUAAUGCAAUGACUUCAAUCCAACAAAAAUCCCAUGUUGUUAAGUAAUUCAUUGUGAAAGCCGAGUAAAAGGUUUCUUUGAUUGGUUUAAAGGCGUCAUGGAUGAUAUUGCAGUGUCACUACCAUCAAGUAAUAGAAAUGCCCACCUACUUGAUAACCUCCUACAAA